UGGAUCCAGACUUUGAUUAUGGCUCAGGACGAACGCUGGCGGCGUGCUUAACACAUGCAAGUCGGACGAGACGAUUGAAAGCUUGCUUUUGAAAGUCGAGUGGCAAACGGGUGAGUAACGCGUAGACAACCUGCCGUAAAGAUGGGGACAACAGUCCGAAAGGACUGCUAAUACCGAAUGUUGUGGAACUUCCGCAUGGGAGCUCUACUAAAGAUGGCCUCUACUUGUAAGCUAUCGCUUUACGAUGGGUCUGCGUCUGAUUAGCUAGUUGGUGGGGUAACGGCCUACCAAGGCGACGAUCAGUAGCCGGUCUGAGAGGAUGAACGGCCACAUUGGAACUGAGACACGGUCCAGACUCCUACGGGAGGCAGCAGUGGGGAAUCUUCCGCAAUGGGCGCAAGCCUGACGGAGCAACGCCGCGUGAGUGAAGAAGGGUUUCGACUCGUAAAGCUCUGUUGUCGGGGACGAAUGUGGAGGUUGUGAAUAACAGCUUCCAAUGACGGUACCUGACGAGGAAGCCACGGCUAACUACGUGCCAGCAGCCGCGGUAAUACGUAGGUGGCGAGCGUUGUCCGGAAUUAUUGGGCGUAAAGGGAGCGCAGGCGGGAGGUCAAGUCUAUCUUAAAAGUGCGGGGCUCAACCCCGUGAGGGGAUGGAAACUGGUCUUCUUGAGUGCAGGAGAGGAAAGCGGAAUUCCUAGUGUAGCGGUGAAAUGCGUAGAUAUUAGGAGGAACACCAGUGGCGAAGGCGGCUUUCUGGACUGUAACUGACGCUGAGGCUCGAAAGCGUGGGGAGCGAACAGGAUUAGAUACCCUGGUAGUCCACGCCGUAAACGAUGAAUGCUAGGUGUAGGAGGUAUCGACCCCUCCUGUGCCGGAGUUAACGCAAUAAGCAUUCCGCCUGGGGAGUACGGCCGCAAGGCUGCAACUCAAAUGAAUUGACGGA
rnacentral:rRNA from 2 species